UCUUCCGCCUUCCCCUUUUCCCUCUUCCCUUUUCCACUCCUCUCUUCCCCCUCCUUCCUUCCCUCUCUCCCCCUGUCCCCUCUUCCCUCCUCUCUCUUCCCCCUUCCACCCCUCCCCUCUUCCCAAGCACACGUUUUGUUGCUAUUCAUUAUUACACACACACACACACACACCUGUCCACCACCACCACCACCACCACCACCACCACAAUCAAUACCCACCUGUACAAAAGGGAAUAUUUUAUACCUGCAUAUGUCACAGGUGUAAAAUAUAUCAAUGAAAAUAAAAAUGGAAAGCGAGGCAGAGAAAAAAACAGGAAAAUGGUAACUGCACUGAAAUCCCUUAAUAGAAAAGGUGGAAAGGAAGGAAAAUAAGGAAGAACGAAAAAUAAAAUAAAAUUACAUAAAAUGAGAUAAAAAUAAUGUGGAAAUGAAAAAAGAAAGUUGAAAUAAUAGAAAGAUAAAUAAAAAAAAAGGAGAGAGAGAGAGAGAGAGAGAGAGAGAGAGAGAGAGAGAGAGAGAGAGAGAGAGAGAGACAUUUGGAAAUUUAACCCGAUAUGUUUUGAAAAGCGAGUCAACUGUAUGGCGCAGGGAGAGAAUAAUUGAAUACCUGUGUGUGUGUGUGUGUGUGUGUGUGUGUGUGUGUGUGUGUGUGUGUGUGUGUGUGUGUGUGUGUGUGUGUGUGUGUGUGUGUGUGUGUGUGUGUGUGUGUGUGUGU